rnacentral:lncRNA from 1 species
UAAGCCUGACACUCACUGAUUUAAACAAAUCUCAUCUCAAAUUAAUAUUAUUAAAACCACAAAUUAUCUUAAUAGCUACACUUUACAAAAAUUACUUCGGUCUACCAGAAAAACUAGGCGAGACCCGAAGCUCAGAAAAUUUACAACUGAUACAUCUGCUAAUUACUACUGCGGAGAAUCUAAGAUUUACCAUUUUACAUACCAAAUCAAUACUUCACCCGAUGAUGAAGGAGUCGGGUUACUGAAUAAGAGUCGCAGGAGAACUAACAGUCACAAAGCUGAAAAAAAAUAAAUGGAGACUGUCAGUCUCGAGAGUGAGUUAAAAUCAAAUAAUCUAGGGACUAUUGCUUCUUCUCAAAAAACAUAGAUUAUUCAAAUCAGUAUAUCAAACCAUACUGUAAUCGUACCCUACUAUUUCCUUCACAUAAAAUAUUAAUCAUUCGAAUCAAAAUAUCAACCAUGCACGUAAAUACAAAUCACAUUAUAAUCAAAUACCAUAAUAAAUAAAUAAAUAAAAAUAUAUAUUUACUUUUACGGGACAGUGGCUCGGUAGAACCCUAAACCCCAAAAUCUAGUAGCCAUUCGGCUCUCUUAAUCCAAUAAGACUGGCGCCCCGAGAGCAAUGCUCGACCAGGGACCUUACCUCCAGUCUGGUCACUUAAAUAUCCAAAUAAGCCGGCACCCCGAGAGCAAUGCUCGACCAGGGACCUUACCUCCGGCAAUCAACUGAACUCAGCCCAGAGAGCAAUGCUCGAUCAGGGCAAACAAAUCCAUAAUAACCUUAUGUCCAUAAUCAUUACCCGUGCGCACGCGGUCCUGAUGUAACCCAUCAGGCGGCAUGUUCUACAAGCCACAUUUCCCAAUUCGCAAUCAUCACAUAUAAUAAAUAUCAUUAUCUGUUGAACUCAUCCAACACAUAUCGAAAUAAAGAUUAAAGAUUUAAGAUAAAAUAACGUGCAAUUUGUGAGGGGAAAAAUAAUAACGUUUGUCUUAUUAUAACAUACUAAUAAUCAUAUUAAGCACAAAUUCUAAAUAGCAUAUUGAAAUCAGACUAGCAAUAGCGCAAAGAUUAAAUGACUUUAACUCACAGGAUUGGCGACCUCCUAGCUCUGCUCC